GGAUAGCUCAGAUGGUAGAG
rnacentral:tRNA from 2 species